rnacentral:rRNA from 1 species
UACGAAGGGGGCUAGCGUUGCUCGAAAUGACUGGGCGUAAAGGGCGCGUAGGCGGCGGUCACAGUCAGAUGUGAAAUUCCUGGGCUUAACCUGGGGGCUGCAUUUGAUACGUGGUUGCUUGAGUGGGGAAGAGGGUCGUGGAAUUCCCAGUGUAGAGGUGAAAUUCGUAGAUAUUGGGAAGAACACCGGUGGCGAAGGCGGCGACCUGGUCCUUGACUGACGCUGAGGCGCGAAAGCUAGGGGAGCAAACGGG